UCGCGAAAACUUCACAAUGGGGGAAACCCCGAUGAGGGAAUUCCAAGUGCCAGCACAUUGUGUUGGCUGUUCUCUGGUCUAAAAAACCGGAGAAGUAAGGGCCGGGUAAGACGGGUGCCAGCCGCCGCGGUAAUACCCGCGGCCCAAGUGGUGGUCGAUAUUAUUGAGCCUAAAACGUCCGUAGCCGGUCUUGUAAAUCCUUGGGUAAAUCGACCAGCUCAACUGUUCGAAGUCCGGGGAGACUGCAAGACUUGGGAUCGGGAGAGGUGAGAGGUACUUCUGGGGUAGGGGUAAAAUCCUGUAAUCCUAGAAGGACCACCGGUGGCGAAGGCGUCUCACUAGAACGAAUCCGACGGUGAGGGACGAAGCCCUGGGGCGCAAACG
rnacentral:rRNA from 1 species